CUCUGCUGCCUCGUUCAACUGCAAUUGUGAUGUGCCUGAUUGUGUCAGGUCAAAGCUUGUGUUCGCAUUAUACUGCUGGCAGCUUGGGCCAACAACAGCACAAUGAUUGUACAAAUUAACUUCCAUUGAGGACUGCUCUAGCAAGGUACUUUCAGUAUCUUCCUCUUGUACAAGCUGAUCCAAUGCAUAGUCAUUAUCUACAAAGAAAGUGCUCUAGCAAGGUACUUUCAGUAUCUUCCGCUUGUACAAACUGAUCCAAUGCGUAGUUGUUAUCUACAAAGAAAGGCUCAAGAAGCACAGGCUCAUCAUCUGCAAUAUGUUUCAGCAGUUCCUCAAGUGCAUCAGCAGCAGCAGCUGGAACUUCAUUAACGUGCUUUGUGGAAUUCUCCUGCUGAACAGAGACUUCGGCUACCGGAUACUCAUCAUCAGCCCAGUCCUCCUCUCUAAAAUAUGCACCAUAUUGCUCACCAUUCUUGGGGCCAGGCCCGCUCUUCUUAAAGACCUUGUAAAGUGCAUAGUAGUCCUGUGCAUUCUCGCAUCUUUUCAGCUCUUCUUCAUCCAUGGUAUAUUCAUGCAUCACCCAAUCUGUCCUUUCACCUAUAGGUGCUCGGCCUUUAUAAAAGACAAGUGUCUUCUUGACUCCAACUGCACGAGAGUUGCAUGUAAUAAUACGAUCCCUUCCAGUAGCUUUCCAAUACCCGUGCUUUGUUGCCCUGUUUGACCGUGCUCCGUUGGGAUACUUUCGAUCUCUGGGACUAAAGAAGAACCACUGCCUGUCUCCAGUUUUUAACUUGGACAAAUCUGCAAUUCAAAUUUGCAAAAGCAAACAGUCAGUUAAGAGUUCAGAAGAUUCAAAGAUGGUCAUGAAAGUAAAUCACCCCAAAUAUGAGUAUCAAUCAGCAACAAUUAGUUUCAGACAAUUGAAGACAAUAAAAUAUUGUAUGAAAUUCAAGUUAGGGAGCAUGCCAAGAGAGGAAAAGCCAUCAAACAAACAAAGAGAAGCAUGAGGACUUUAGAAUACAAUAGCUAUACAUGGAACAAGAUUAUUUCCAUUAAUGUUGAAGAAUCAUAAAUAUACUCAUGUGCGUGUCAAAUACUGAUAAUGAUACAUCAUUUUUUUCUCAAAAUUAAACUACUGAGAGCUUAUAUAUGCCCUCGAUCUCCAUUCUUAUUCGUACCUCAGUUAACACAAACUUUGAUCACAAUAUACACAAAAAACACAUGACUCUAAAUAGAACCUAUCCCCCCCNNNNNNNNNNNNNNNNNNNNNNNNNNNNNNNNNNNNNNNNNNNNNNNNNNNNNNNNNNNNNNNNNNNNNNNNNNNNCAAAAGACCUGGGCCAAAACCAAAACCAAAAAAAAAACGCAGUAAACCUUUAAUAGAAACUCAGAGUUAAGCAAAAACCCAUCUUUAUGACAAAUCUACUUCACCCCAAAUGAAUAUUUGUCAAGCAAACAAACACAUUAGAGCCAUGAUGACUAAUAUUCCUUGCACAAUGCACAACACAUAAACAUCACAUAUAAUCCUUCAACCAGUACACACCUUCAUCCACAGAGAGAAUUAAGAACGCAAAAAGGGUAAAACCAUGCCAACAAUAAAGUCAACAACAAAAAUACUCCAGAAAGAAAACAAUACAAGUACACAACACCCAGUUAAAUCACAAUCCUCAAAAACAAAAUCACAAACACAACAAAACAACACAUUUCACACGCCAAACAAAAAACAGUCACUCACAUGAUCGAAUCAAGUCAACUCCUCAAACAACACAUACAAAUCUAAUCUUUUAAAUAACAAUAACAAAAAUCUAAUAUAGUAAGAGAAUAGAUACAUACCAGGCAAAUCCUCAGGGUCCCACUUGUACACGUCAGUCUCAGCAAUAGCAUCAAGCAAGAUCCGGCGCCGACAGAUCUUCCUCUUUAAGUAGUACACAACAAGCUCCUCGUCUGUCGGGUGAAACCUAAACCCAGGUGGAAAAAUACCAGUACUUUCUCCAAAAACCUUAAUCUCUUUA
rnacentral:lncRNA from 1 species